AAAAACAGAGCAUGUUUGUUUAUAAAAAUAAAAAUUUUUUAUAAAAUUUUUAAAAUACAAAAAUAAACAGCAGCUGAAACAUUUUGAUUUUACAAUUGAUUGUAUGAUCAGUUAAAGAAGGCAGUAGUGAAAUUGGGUUUUGUUUUUUUUUUGUUGAGGAGAUUGAAGAUUUUUAUUAUUUUAUUGAUGUUUGGUUGAUUCGAGAACGACAAAAGUAAAUGGGGCUUUGUUUUUUAUUGGAAAGAUUGAAGCUUUUUAUUGUUUGGUUGAUUUCAAGAAGAUAGUUCUGAUUUUUUUAAGGCAGCAAUUGCUAGACUUGAAGCAUUGGAGAAUGAUUAUACAGGGAUGGAAACAGUAGAAGCUGUUCUUGAUGUCAUAUGAGGCUUCUCUUGAUGAUGACGAUGGUGAAUCCAUGAAUCUCUGGAUUCGGGCAAACAAAGACAUUUAUUUCUAAUGAUUGACUCGAGAAACUGUAAAUACAUCAUCAACUGAGAAGACUAGAUUCCAUUGCUGGUGAGCCGAUGUUGGUGAUCUUUAGCACUGAGGCAGAUCAAGUGGUGGGGGCUGUACUGACUGCAAAUUGCCAACUCCAUUCUCAACUAAGAAAGCCAUAGCCAGACCCCAAUUGAGAUGUGAAUCUAGGUGACAGUGCAGCAACCAAAUCCCUGUUUCAGACCAGCCACAAACCGGAUGGCUACCCAUCCACCAGGAGGGUUUCCAAUGGUAUUCCUAUAUGGUGGGUUAAUGAGGUUGAACUUUGCUGGAUCUGUUUGAGGGUUGAAGUUACCAAAGCCUGACCCUACAACCGCGAAAUUGUGUCCAUGGAGAUGCAUUGGGUGGUCCUCAACCGUGACUGUACUGGUAUCCUGGAAGACUAUUUGUACCUUUGCACCAAAUUUCAAUUUGUAAAGCUUAGUUGCUUUAACAGGCUGCCAUAGUCCUCGGCUGACGUUGCCAGUGUAAUCGAAUUUUACGGGGGGAACAGGUGGAAAAUCUGUCGUAAAGACUCCAGGUUGGCCUUGGUAGUAGGCCUGCAUUAAGGAGUUUCUUGUUGGGAGUACAAAAGACACAUUAUUUAUGCUAGCGGCGAAACGAGUUCCAUUUGGACCUUGGCAGCGGGGGCUAUUAGGAUUGGUGCAGUUGAUGAGUCCGAACCCCACUGUGAAAAACAGGUUUUCAUCAAUCUGAAGAGGGACAUUAACCUUGGAAGGGCUCCUUAGACUGGAAGUGAAGGCAAUUGCACUGUUUGUGUCAUUAAAGCCUGGCAGUUGUGGGAAGAUAGGUGUUGAGGACUUCCCUUUGUUGGAAUUGCAAGGAGCAGAUUUGUAUUCAAGGAUUGCAGUUGUAGUUGUAUUGUCAAAAGGUGCAUUGGCUGAGUUAUAGGCAUGAGCUGCCAUGUAGUAGUGACCUGGUGUUUGAUCAGCAGUGAGAAGGACAUUGGUUGUCUGACCAGGAGCUAUCAUAAUGAAUGAGGUUGCGAAAGGCAUGGUGCAGGCAGCAUCAACAGCAACUACUGUCAGUAUAUGGUUGGCCACUGCAAAGAAGAGUUCUUGGUUCAUGGCAGAAUUUAUGACCCUUAGGAGGAUUGUUUCGCCAGGAUCCACAGGAAAUCUCACAGUUUCUACAUUGUCAAAACCACAACAGAUGUGAUAUCAUGGUCAAUGGUUAGUGAAAGUUUAGUUUGCAAUUGAGCUGAAUAAGUGCUAAAGCAAAAGCAAGAAUAACUGGCAAACCUUGCUUGGAGCAUCUGUAGAGGUCGCCGGGUUGGCCAUUGAUGGUAUAAGCAUCAGACACAUUUGGUGCUGCACCUGUGAAAUCUGCCAGCCUCAAAACAUCCAUGGGGUUCCUGACCCACCACUCCCCUGUUACUCAAAAACAUAAUCAGUUUGUCAGUUAUGCAACCAUUAAUGGUUAGAAGACUAUGAAUUGAAAAUGAGAAAUUGGUCACCAAGAAGAAUGGGAAUUUCUCUUAUGGGCAUUGGGAAUGAAUAUGGGGAACCCAAUUUAGGAUGAAUGAUUAGAGCACCAUAAACAGUGGCUCUAAGCCAUCUGCUAUGAGCAUGCCACCACAAAGUCCCCUCUUGAUUUUCAAUUGUGAACCGGUAGGUAUAACUCCUUCCUGGUUGGAUAGGGCAUUGUGUCACGCGAUCAGGUCCAUCUGCCCAUGGAUUUCGCAGCUGUCGGACUCCAUGCCUGAUAAAUUCAGACACAACAAUUGAACAGGAGUUGAAACAUGCAUGUAUGUGUAUGCAAUUCUCUCUUUUCUCUUCUUGAUUGUUUUACGCUCAUACAACAUGUUUCAUAAUUACCAGUGGAGGGUAACAUUGUAUCUAGCAUUAUUUAUUGCCUUGAUCACAAGAGUAUCACCGUCACGCA